UGGAGCAGGACGGUGCGCACGGGAACAGCACGGGAUCCAGGUGAUGAAGCCUGAGGAUGCAGCCGACGGCGGCGGUGGCGACAGCCAACGAGGGGAUGAGUGGGGCGGCGUGGGACCCCGGGCGGAGGUCUCCGGGAAGCCGCCGCCGCGCUCUCCUCCUCUUCUCGCGCGGAAUCCCGGGCGGAGGAACUCGGGGCAGUGGUUCCCGGGCGGAGGAACUCGAGGGCGGGGGCGCUGGAUCGCGGGCGGAGGAGCUCGUGGGCAGCAAGGGGAUCUCGGGCGGAGGUCAGCUCGGCGAGGAGCUGCGGGCGGAG
rnacentral:lncRNA from 1 species